ensembl:snoRNA small nucleolar RNA SNORD113/SNORD114 family
UGGACGAAUGAUGACCACUGAUGAUGUAUGAUCCGGGGAUCAUGACUACAGGUCAGGGAGUCUGAGGUUCAC